GUUUGUAUAUAAAUCAACUUUAUAUUUUAAAUACAGGUUAUUUUAAGACAGUACAACUGAAUAUUUUAGACUGAGAUGUGUAUGUUUAAUAUAACUACAGUCUACAUUAUGUAUAAUUUUUUACGUUUAUAUAUUUCCAUUGAUUUACUAUUCUCUGAGGUUUAUAACUUUACCUAAAUAUAUGUUGGUCUAAUAACUUGCAAGAUAUUUUUUUCCCACGCUGGGUUUCUGCAAGAUUUUUUUUCCUCUGAACUGACCUUGCACGAUUUUUUUUUCUGAAAUUGCCACCCACCCCCCCCCCCUCCCCCAUUUUCUAAUGGUCCGCCCCUAACUAAUUGUCAAGCG